rnacentral:rRNA from 1 species
UAAUGUAUCGGAAAUCUACCUAGUAGUACGGAAUAAUUGUUGGAAACGGCAACUAAUACCGUAUACGCCCUACGGGGGAAAAAUUUAUUGCUAUUAGAUGAGCCUAUAUUAGAUUAGUUAGUUGGUGAGGUAAAGGCUUACCAAGACAAUGAUCUAUAGCUGAUCUGAGAGGAUGAUCAGCCACACUGGAACUGAGAUACGGUCCAGACUCCUACGGGAGGCAGCAGUGGGGAAUAUUGGACAAUGGGCGAAAGCCUGAUCCAGCCAUGCCGCAUGAGUGAAGAAGGCCUUUGGGUUGUAAAGCUCUUUUAGUGAGGAAGAUAAUGACGGUACUCACAGAAGAAGUCCUGGCUAACUCCGUGCCAGCAGCCGCGGUAAUACGGAGAGGGCUAGCGUUAUUCGGAAUUAUUGGGCGUAAAGGACGCGUAGGCUGAUUAAUAAGUUAAAAGUGAAAUCCCGAGGCUUAACCUCGGAAUUGCUUUUAAAACUAUUAAUCUAGAGAUUGAAAGAGGAUAGAGGAAUUCCUGAUGUAGAGGUGAAAUUCGUAAAUAUUAGGAGGAACACCAGUGGCGAAGGCGUCUAUCUGGUUCAAAUCUGACGCUGAGGCGUGAAGGCGUGGGGAGCAAACAGGNUUAGAUACCCUGGUAGUCCACGCUGUAAACGAUGAAUGUUAAAUAUGGGAAGUUUACUUUCUGUAUUNCAGCUAACGCGUUAAACAUUCCGCCUGGGGACUUCGGUCGCAAGAUUAAAACUCAAAGGAAUUGACGGGGACCCGCACAAGCGGUGGAGCAUGUGGUUUAAUUCGAUGGCAACGCG